rnacentral:lncRNA from 1 species
CUUUUUGUUUUUUUUUUUUGUUUUUUUUGCCUUUUCUGACUGGUGAUUUGUAUUUUUGUUUUAUUUAUUUAUUUAUUUUUUAGGUUACUACCUUUCUGCUUGUAGAAGAAUCCAAGUAGUUGGGUCUUUUUUUUUUUGGUUUAUAAUGAACAGGCAUUUGAACUGGGCAAACAGGACGACAGCAGCAGUGAGCAUGAGAUCAUUGCAUUGCAGCACUGUAGCAAACUGGCACCCUGCCUUUGCACCCCUUUGGUUCAGGAGACAAACGUGUGUAAUCCUCAUUUCUAAAGUCAGCACAGCCUGGAAGGAUUCCUGGUCUCUCCCACCUUCUACCAUUCUGCUGCCAGUGACGGCAAGGAUUGGUGUAGCUUCUGCGCAGUGCUUUGUGCCUGGAAUACCGAGAAGGAAGAAAAAGAAGACAAGCACCCUGGUCCUUUUCUAAGAAAUUACAGGCGCCCUUGAAGAAAAAAUCUGAGUGUGUCCUACUACAUGCAAGAGUGCUGGAAAAAAAAAAAAAAAAAAAAAAAAAAAGAGACGCUCCUGCUCAAAAACAAAAACAAAAGCAAACAAACAAAAAUCCAAACCAAAACAAACCAAAAAAAGCAAACAUUGGCUGUAUAACUACAGAGACAUCGGGCUUUGUAAAUCAGCUUUUUAAGGCAACAUAACCAAAUGAGCCUUCUUUAUUUUUAUUAUUUCAAACCAUAUGGCAUAAUUAGCAAUAUAUUGCACUUGGUGAAAUCGCACCUUUCAUAUCAGGGAAAAACUUAAAAUGGAUAUGAAAAGUGAAGAAAGUGAUCAUAGGAGAAAACCAUUUCAGGUAAAAAUAAAAAACAAAGAGCAAAUAAGAUUUACUGUUUUUAAAGAAAAACAACAUUCUUUUGACUGUGUUUUGUUAUAAGAAUUAAUUUCAUAUUCUUUAUGAGUGUAACUGUUGAAAUUUUAUUGAUGGUUUUCAUUUGAAAAUGUGUGCUAUGACCUACCUUUGUGAAAAAUUUCUUGUGGUCAAUUGGGCAGUUUGUGUCCCAUUGAAUAUAUGUCUGUGUAUCCAUACGCUUAAGAUAGGUGCAAUACGGUUUACUAGAAAGCUUUAUAGGAAAAGAAAAAAA